AGCGAACGCUGGCGGCAGGCCUAACACAUGCAAGUCGAACGAACCCUUCGGGGUUAGUGGCGGACGGGUGAGUAACACGUGGGAACGUGCCUUUAGGUUCGGAAUAACUCAGGGAAACUUGUGCUAAUACCGAAUGUGCCCUUCGGGGGAAAGAUUUAUCGCCUUUAGAGCGGCCCGCGUCUGAUUAGCUAGUUGGUGAGGUAAAGGCUCACCAAGGCGACGAUCAGUAGCUGGUCUGAGAGGAUGAUCAGCCACAUUGGGACCGAGACACGGCCCAAACUCCUACGGGAGGCAGCAGUGGGGAAUCUUGCGCAAUGGGCGAAAGCCUGACGCAGCCAUGCCGCGUGAAUGAUGAAGGUCUUAGGAUUGCAAAAUUCUUUCACCGGGGACGAUAAUGACGGUACCCGGAGAAGAAGCCCCGGCUAACUUCGUGCCAGCCGCCGCCGUAACAC
rnacentral:rRNA from 1 species